AACGAACGCUGGCGGCAUGCCUAACACAUGCAAGUCGAACGAGACCUUCGGGUCUAGUGGCGCACGGGUGCGUAACGCGUGGGAACCUGCCCUUAGGUUCGGAAUAACUCCCCGAAAGGGGUGCUAAUACCGGAUAAUGUCUUCGGACCAAAGAUUUAUCGCCUUUGGAUGGGCCCGCGUCGGAUUAGCUAGUUGGUAGGGUAAAAGCCUACCAAGGCGACGAUCCAUAGCUGGUCUGAGAGGAUGAUCAGCCACACUGGGACUGAGACACGGCCCAGACUCCUACGGGAGGCAGCAGUGGGGAAUAUUGGACAAUGGGCGAAAGCCUGAUCCAGCAAUGCCGCGUGAGUGAUGGAGGCCUUAGGGUUGUAAAGCUCUUUUACCCGGGAUGAUAAUGACAGUACCGGGAGAAUAAGCUCCGGCUAACUCCGUG
rnacentral:rRNA from 1 species